rnacentral:rRNA from 1 species
GACGAACGCUGGCGGCGUGCUUAACACAUGCCAGUCGAACGGAAAGGCCCUGCUUUUGUGGGGUGCUCGAGUGGCGAACGGGUGAGUAACACGUGAGUAACCUGCCCUUGACUUUGGGAUAACUUCAGGAAACUGGGGCUAAUACCGGAUAGGAGCUCCUGCUGCAUGGUGGGGGGUGGAAAGUGUCGGCGGUUGGGGAUGGACUCGCGGCUUAUCAGCUUGUUGGUGGGGUAGUGGCUUACCAAGGCUUUGACGGGUGGCCGGCCUGGGAGGGUGACCGGCCACAUUGGGCCUGAGCUACGGCCCGGACUCCUACGGGAGGCAGCAGUGGGGAAUAUUGCACCAUGGGCGGACGCCUGAUGCAGCAACGCCGCGUGCGGGAUGACGGCCUUCGGGUUGUAAACCGCUUUCGCCUGUGACGAAGCGUGAGUGACGGUAAUGGGUAAAGAAGCACCGGCUAACUACGUG